AUCAAUAUCUAUAUCUAUAUUCAUCUCAUAAUUAAUUAAAAAUUUCAUAUGCAUAUCCAUCCCGUAUCUGCCUUAGAUCAGAUUAGAUUAGAUAAAGAAUUCAUCUUCAAAUAUUAUAAAAUAAUUAUAAAAAAAUGAUUUAAGUUAAAAUUAUAUCAGAUGGGGUUCGGAAUAGAUCAGAUAUUUUUUUUAGAACCCAUACUUAUUCUGACUUUUAC
rnacentral:lncRNA from 1 species